rnacentral:rRNA from 1 species
UACGGAGGGUGCGAGCGUUGUCCGGAAUCAUUGGGCGUAAAGGGCGCGUAGGUGGCUUCUUAAGCGUGCGGUGAAAGCCUGGGGCUCAACCCCGGGUCGGCCGUGCGAACUGGUGGGCUGGAGCACUGUAGAGGCAGGCGGAAUUCCGGGUGUAGCGGUGGAAUGCGUAGAGAUCCGGAAGAACACCGGUGGCGAAGGCGGCCUGCUGGGCAGUGGCUGACACUGAGGCGCGACAGCGUGGGGAGCAAACAGG